AGUGGUACCAGAAGAACAGCUGGACUUUGGCCUCUGGAGACACACGGAGGAGAGGCUAGCUGCAGGGAGCUGGAGGAGAGGCAGAGGAGAAUAAAUAUUUUGGAACAACAGCUGCAGUUCGAGAGAGAGGAGUACAAGAGCCUCCUCUGCAGAGUUCUGCAGCACGCUGGGGAGAAAAGGGAGCUCCUCACGGAGAUUAAAACUCUCCAAGAACAGCUGGAGAGGUGAGAAAUAUUUAGAAGGGAAUCCUUCCUUCCUUGCUUCCAUGAAUCGAUGCGUUGGAGGAAGAGGUAGAACGAGAAAGAGGAAUAUAAAAGCUUCCUCUGUAGAGUUCUGCAACAAGCUGGCAAGAAACAGGAGCUCCUCACGGAAAACAAAAGACUGAAGGAACAACUGGACAGCUGAGAAAUAUUUAGUAUCACCUAUCAUGAGAGGGCUAAUUUCUGUCUGCUCAUAAUUUACAGAAAUGCAAUGUUAUUUGAGGAGAUGGUGCAGGAAAGAGGGCAGCUAAAAGAAGAACUAAAGGCCUUAAAAUCAAAAACUUGAAGUUGAGCGAGGAGAAGGCGACCCAAAUUUACACCAUGGUAUAUUAAAGUCACUAACAGAGAAGCUCCUUUACAAAAAAUGCUCAUGUUAUUAUUGUAUCAUCAUGAAUAGAAAGAACAAAAUCCUCUUUUUUGUCCCAAUUUAAUCUUCAAAUAACCUUUUCUUUUAACCAGGAGAGGCUACACCUGAGAAUUCGUUUCAUGUCGUAAGGAGGGUGGGUGAGCUGAUUUAAAUAGAAGGGAAUAUGCUGAUCUAUGCUGGUGCAUCUAUGCUCCCCUCCUUUCCCUCCUCACCAAGGAGAAAUGAUUCUCUGUCUCAGCCACAUCCAGCCAUCCCU